ACAGCUUAAUAGCGCAGUAUUACAGGGCUUGCGAAACGAAUUAGUUAAAAGCAAUCAGCCGCAUCAUCAUCACCAGGAAUAGAAAAGUAAUAAACAGCGCACUGCAGCGCUCGUAAUUAAGUCACAAACAGGCUGAAUUUGUAAGAAAAAUUAAUUUGUAAGAAAUUAUGACAAGCUGUUUAGUAGUAGUACUAAAUGUACGUCGAGUUCAACAUGAGUGAAGCUAAAAACACAAAGCGCGAGAGAUAUUUGAGACGUGCAGACCAUGUACGAACAGAGAAGCGUCACGACCUUAUGGACAGGGCCAUCGCCCGUCCACCGCUCAGGUGGCUUCGCGGACACGCAGGCAGAGGAGUUGCCGCGCACGGACUUCUAUUUUUGCGAGCUCGCAACCAGCGUGAUCCUGAGUGACCCAUUGUCCUCGCAGCUGUAGCCGCUUCGGGGGCACCGGGGCUAACGGCAAAAAAAAAAAAAAAAAAAAAAAAAAAAAAGACUGAUUCGGACAGCUCCGUAUCGGGUCCCGCAACGAAGAGGCUGAAAAAAACAAGAAGUCGAAACGAGGAGAGUCAAACAAACGAAGAAUGAUUGCGGCUGCUGUCUUCUGGCCGGCGUUACAGCUAUUGCACUGUUAAAUCAAACACAAUAUCAAAGUGUGUGUGUGUCUGUAUAUGCGCGUGUGUGUGCAUGUGCGUGUUUGCAACAGUAAUGGGGAGCGGUGGGGGAGGGGGGGGGGCAUAUGGUGCGCGUAUGCCUUGCAAGUAGAACGACGAACCAGCGUUGCUCGCAUCCUUCAGCGCGGAAAGGGAGAAGAGAUCGGCCGGCUCGGGCGUCCCAUUUUCGAUGGUUCGCUUCUUCUUCUCGCGCAGCCUUAAUCCGGUUUCUUCCCGCCCGCUCCUCCAGCGCAGCUCAUCUUCGCCGCGCGCUGGGGUCGCCGUCUGGUUCAGCGCCCGACCGACACGCGCGAAAUGCAAAAGGCGGCAACGCGUUCGGCGCGCGCGGCUAACGCCACCGCGCCGGGACGGGCCCAACGAAAAGGAAAACGAAAAAAGAAAACGGUGUUAGGAGAAAGAACGAAUCGGGACGCAGGGUCCGCGCGGGCCUGUUUCCUUGCCCGCCGAAGUCUGUUCAGUUCGUGCCAGACACGGCGUUAGCAGCACAACAUCCAGCAGCUCGUCCGCACAACGUCCCGGCGCAGUCCAUAUCGCGCAGGUUUGCCUCUCGGUUUUGGCCGGUUUCUCCGCCUGUGCGCUUAGCUUGUCCUCGGCGCUGUUGUCUUUCGCGUGAAGGGGAACUCCAGUUCGAAAAAGUGCACGCCGUUGUUUGGAGCCUAAACACCACAGCCUCCGAAGGGACAAUGACUUCAGCUGCGCGAUUAUGUUGCUUCGCAGUUGUCUUGUUCUGCUCAGCCAAGCAUAUCAGAGCCGGCUGCCUUUUCUCGAGCGACUUCCUCAACUCGGAUUUCAAGUCGAACUUGGAUUCCUCGUCUGAAGUUGGAAGCUAUGGAGACGAGGAUGAGCCCAGACUGAAAGGAUAUGGGUGCCCGCUCUACCCCGAGAAAUGCUGGGAGCACUGCGCCAAGCUAAAGAGAUUUCAGGCGACUUGCGGAGGAAUUCUGCAGAUGACCUGCGUCUGCUGACCUCACAACGAUGGUGUAGAUGCGGCCAUCUUCAGCGCACUUCCAGCAGGAAACUGAAUUGAAUGCGCGCUCGGACAGCUCGCUUUAAUAUAGUAAAAUCGGAGAGCGAAGAAGACCAAAGAGUACGGGAGCAGGAGGAAGAAGGGAGGUAGAUGGGAAUAUAGUGAAGUUUGCAACGACAACCAGCGAAGGCCUCUGCUGGGACAUCGCUACUAGAAAACGUGCUUGGACCCUCAGGCUGUUAUCGCAGGGUGUUGCAGGCUUACGUCAGUUGCUUUCUGCUUCUCAAAGAUAUUCUCUUAGUUCCUAUGAAGAGCCUGGUGCUCUCAGUUUGCUACUUAUCAUAAUUUCUCCUCAUUUUCUGUAAUGCGAGAGGAAGAACUUUGCUUGCAAAGCCGCGCUCAGUGGACAUAAACUGGUUCUCUUAUUUAUUAUCUUUGUCGUCGUACGCUGAAGUUAACACUUGAAACCAAUACGAAAGAGAGCGCAAAUGACAGAGAACUGCACCCCUUGGGUAUGUGUUGCUCUGUGCCAAACGGCGCCCAGAUCGGUCCGUUCCGUUUGAACAGCUGUAAUCAUUUAGCGCUAGAAGAGGAACUUCGCAUUCGUUCAUUCGAGACUUUGUGUUCAUUCAGUGGACAGUUCAGAACAGUUUAGCUUCUCGUACACGAGGAGUUGGUACUUCAAGAAGUUCGCUUACAGAAUUGUCUCUUCUCUUGCAUGAAGGCUUCAUCCAUUAAAGAUGUUCUUCUGAGUU